rnacentral:lncRNA from 1 species
UUUUUUUCUUAGAUGAGCCUUUUUUGUUCUUUUGUUUUGCUUUAAUUGAUUUUCGAGUCUUUCAUUUGUGUAUGAGAAGUGACUCGUCAUUAGAGGAUAAUAUCUGAAGUUUAUUGUUGCUAUUAUUAUGUUUUGAAUUCUCCUUGAUAUGUGUUUCUUCAUCUGAUGAUGUUAUGAUUAACUUUGUUUAGCACUGAGAGUUUUUGUUUUCUUGUAUGGCUUACCAUUGAUGUUGUC